rnacentral:rRNA from 1 species
CCUACGGGUGGCAGCAGUGAGGAAUAUUGGUCAAUGGGCUUACGCCUGAACCAGCCAAGUCGCGUGAGGGAAGACUGCCCUAUGGGUUGUAAACCUCUUUUGUCAGGGAGCAACGCCGGCUACGCGUAGCUGGCUUGAGAGUACCUGCAGAAAAAGCAUCGGCUAACUCCGUCCCAGCAGCCGCGGUAAUACGGAGGAUGCGAGCGUUAUCCGGAUUUAUGGGGUUUAAGGGGUGCGUAGGCGGCAUGCAAAGUCAGCGGGAAAAUCGCGGGGCUCAACCUCGAUCCGACGUUGAAACUGGCGUUCUAGAGAGGGCGAGAGGUAGGCGGAAUGCAUGGUGUAGCGGUGAAAUGCAUAGAGAUCACACAGAACACCGAUUGCGAAGGCAGCAUACCAGCGCCCUACUGACGCUGAAGCACGAAAGCGUGGGUAUCGAACAGGAUUAGAUACCCCUGUAGUC